rnacentral:rRNA from 1 species
UGAGGAAUUUUGCGCAAUGGGGGAAACCCUGACGCAGCAACGCCGCGUGAGUGAUGAAGGCCUUCGGGUCGUAAAGCUCUGUCAAGUGGGAAGAAUCUGUCCGGUGAUAAUACCGCUGGGCAAUGACGUACCG